CAAAAAUGAUGUGAUUCUACAUGGUGUUCAACCAGAGAAAUGAAAAGUUGUGCUCUAUUUGUGUACAAUGAAACAAAAUGCAUUCUACUGUCAUGUAUAACAAAUUAGAAAAAAAUUUUAAAAUGUUAAUAUAAAAAAUUGUUGCAAUUUUUACUCUUCUCUAUAUUCAGAUCAUUUGAAAUGUUAUACUAUAGAUUUUUUCUGUUCAACAGAUGGGAUUCGAUCCUCUAUUCCUCCAGCCUUGUUAUUGCCUUUUUUCCCAAUAGAAUGGAGCAGAAUCCACAGUGUGGCAGUUUCAAGCCCAGGGUUUCAGAGGUAUUGGGCUCUUCUGCUAUUUCCCUCAGAAUUGUGCUGCUGUGUGAACAAGCCCCGGUUAGCCAGCUGGAGACUGCGAUACCUGGUGGGAGGAAUCCCAGCUGUCUCAUCCAAGGGUUUCCUAGCUCAGCCUGCAGCUCUCCAUGGGAGAACCCAGCCUAGAUCAGUAGAGCCUGCAGGUGACAACAGGUGCAUGAGUGAGCCUGUAAGAGACCACAAGAACUGUCUCCAAACAACUUGAGGACAUUAAUGAGUCAUUAUUGUUUUAAAUCAUUGAGUGUUGGAGAAUUUUCUUGUAUAACCAAGUGAAUGUACAUCAUUAUUUAAAUCAUAAGUCAGAUGCUUAAUAUCCCAUGUAAUUUUUCUCUAUCCUUCCACAUAGAAGUGAUUCUGCCUGUCAUGUCUUUUUCCUUUAAUUUUUAUUACUAACUUGUUUUUGCAAUUUGUCAUUUCAUAAAUUACUCAUGAUGUUCAAGGAUUUAAAACUUCAAUUAUUUGAAGUAGUGCAAGCUCAAGUCAAUGCCAUUAUUUUUAUUCCUAUACAACUUCUUGCAGGAUUGCAGCUCAGUGGGAUAGUGUUUGCCUAGCAUGCCUGAGGCCCUGGGUUUGAUCCUAAGUACUAAAAGAUUACUGUUUGGCAUUACAUAAAAUUACUUAUAUUAAGUAUACUAAUACUACACUGAAUCAAAAC
rnacentral:lncRNA from 1 species